GGGAGUGUGGCUCAGUGGUAGAGCAUUUGCUUUAGCAUAUGCAAGGCCCUGAGUUCCAAUCCCCAGCACUUCAG
rnacentral:tRNA from 1 species